AGCUUUGCGCAGUGGCAGUAUCGUAGCCAAUGAGGUUUAUCUGAGGCGCGAUUAUUGCUAAUUGAAAUAUCAAUUUUAAAGUACAAUAUUUUUAUUUUGGAUUUUAUUUCCAAUUCUUUCUUAUUAUUUAGGAAG